rnacentral:rRNA from 1 species
AGAUUGAACGCUGGCGGCAUGCCUUACACAUGCAAGUCGAACGGCAGCACGGGAGCAAUCCUGGUGGCGAGUGGCGAACGGGUGAGUAAUAUAUCGGAACGUGCCCAGUCGUGGGGGAUAACGUAGAGAAAUUUACGCUAAUACCGCAUACGAUCCAAGGAUGAAAGCGGGGGACCGUAAGGCCUCGCGCGACUGGAGCGGCUGAUAUCAGAUUAGCUUGUUGGUGAGGUAAAAGCUCACCAAGGCGACGAUCUGUAGCUGGUUUGAGAGAACGACCAGCCACACUGGGACUGAGACACGGUCCAGACUCCUACGGGAGCAGCAGUGGGAAUAUUGGACAAUGGGCGAAAGCCUGAUCCAGCCAUGCCGCGUGUGUGAAGAAGGUCUUCGGAUUGUAAAGCACGUUUAAGUGGAGGAAGGUUGUAACCUAAUACGUUAGCUAACUUUGACGUUACCGACAGAAUAAGCACGGCUAACUUCGUGCCAG